CUGGACCUCUCGGGGUUACAGCCUUGCUGAAUUAUUCACCCUUGUCUUUUGCGUACUUCUUGUUUCCUUGGUGGGUUCGCCCACCACUAGGACAAACAUAAACCUUUUGUAAUUGCAAUCAGCGUCAGUAACAAAUUAAUAAUUACAACUUUCAACAACGGAUCUCUUGGUUCUGGCAUCGAUGAAGAACGCAGCGAAAUGCGAUAAGUAGUGUGAAUUGCAGAAUUCAGUGAAUCAUCGAAUCUUUGAACGCACAUUGCGCCCUUUGGUAUUCCAAAGGGCAUGCCUGUUCGAGCGUCAUUUGUACCCUCAAGCUUUGCUUGGUGUUGGGCGUCUUGUCUCUAGCUUUGCUGGAGACUCGCCUUAAAGUAAUUGGCAGCCGGCCUACUGGUUUCGGAGCGCAGCACAAGUCGCACUCUCUAUCAGCAAAGGUCUAGCAUCCAUUAAGCCUUUUUUUCAACUUUUGACCUCGGAUCAGGUAGGGAUACCCGCUGAACUUAAGCAUAUCAAUAAGC
rnacentral:rRNA from 1 species